ACACGUCUACAUUAGAUACCCCUGUAGUCCCAGCCGUAAACUACGCGCGUUAGGUGUAUCGGUGACCACGAGUUACCGAGGUGCCGAAGGGAAACCGUGAAACGUGCCGCCUGGGAAGUACGGUCGCAAGGCUAGAAAACUUAAAGGAAUUGGCGGGGGAGCACAACAACGGGUGGAGCCUGCGGUUUAAUUGGACUCAACGCCGGACAACUCACCGGGAACGACAGCAAUAUGUAGGCCAGGCUGAAGACCUUGCCUGAAUCGCUG
rnacentral:rRNA from 1 species